ACUCUCUGGCGUUGGCUUUCCAUCGGGAGGGGUCUCAAAGCUGAGCAGGACAUAAGACUAAAAGCAGAAAUAUCCAACCCUAAGUCAGAGAGUCAAGACUCUCCUUUUACCUUCGGUGGCCGUCUUGUCUCGUGGGGAAGGAUACAGAGGAAAAUGUUAUCUUCACAUCUAAGGUCCUAUUCCUAAAUGAGGAUUAAGUGUCCCCUGGGACAAGUGCUGCAGGACUCAGAAGGUACAGCAUGUCCUGUCCCAAAAAAGGUCUGCAGACGGUUCUCUUCUCCGUCCUGCUGUGGCAGGGAGGGGGAGAUGGAAGCAGGGGAGCAAGAGAGGAGCACGGUUCAGAUUCUUGGUGGAGGCACUGAAUUGAGCAGGGAGAGGGGUCAGGAUUGCUUGGUAAACUGAGUCCUCCUGAAGGCCAGCUUUGCCAUGAAGCAAACUAAGGCCAAGGGAACUGCCUGGGAAAUUCAAUUUUUAGGAGUAAAAUGGCAAGAUGGAUGUUGUCAGAUUCCAAUGGAUAUGGUCAACAAAACAGCUCUGUCCUCAGCAAACAGCAGAAAGGAAACAGAGGCUUUCCUUAGGUGCUGUUGGGUUUUGGAGGGAUACAUAUUCCAGAUUACAGACUGUAAACCUUCCCUAUCGCGUGACCUGGAAGAAGAACCAUUUUAGGUGGGGUCCUGAACAACAACAAGUUUUUGAACAAAUGAAACAGGAGAUUUUUCAGGCAGUAGCCCUUGGGCCAGUCAGGUUGUGCUCUACAGAAUGUGCUCUGCACUGCAGCUGGGGGGAAUUGUCCUUCCUGGAGCCUCUGGCAGAAGGGACCUGGAGAGACUCGAGAGCAGCCCCUGGGGUUCUGGAGUAGGGGCCAGCUGCACCCAACUGAAAAAGUGAUACUGCCUGCUUAUGAAGGGGUUUGAGCUGCUUCAGAAGUGAUUGGCACCAAAGCACAGCUUCUUUUGGCAUUCCAACAACCAGUGCUGGGCUGGACGUUCAAAGGGAAAGUCCCUGCAACACACACUGAUGCCUCAUGGAUAAGUGGAUAGCACUGAUCAUACAGUGAGCUUGAACAGGAAAUCCCAAUCGCCCUGGGAUCUUGGGAGUCAUCAGGAACUGGCCUGAUGGUGAAAAUUUUGGACUGUCAUCAUCAUCCUCGUUGAAUAGAAGGUGACACGUGCUGAGUAGGCCUCACCAUACAACCAGCUACCAGAAAAUGAAAGCAAUACACUCUCUUCACUGACGGUUCUUGUCAUGUUGUAGGAAUACACUGAAAAUGGAAAGCUGCUGUGUGGAUUCCUGUGCACUCAGUGGUAGAAGCUGUGUGGUUCAGUCACAGCAGGGGCACUUCUUCUGGGAAGUACCAUUUCUACAUCCCAACACCCAGCCAAAGCAUGGCAGUGGAUUUGCUGCUGGAUGUGGGCUGGUGCCCUGGGGGUUUGCUCAGUGCCGUAGUGUGUUGCUUUUGCUUCUUCAAGUGCUUCUCACACCACAGUUGAUCAAUGCUGGGUGUGGGAACACCAGCAGUAUCAGCCCAUUCCCAUUCAUCUGCAUCCCUGUUUGUGGAACAUCAUCCCUAUCCAACAGUGUCACACAGGAGGGAACAAAUCAUAUCUACAAUCUAUAAACAAUGUGAAAUAAAAGCUUUCUUUUCUUCAGAAAAAUAACCAGAGACUUAGGAAAGGAUGUAGACAUGGAUGAAAUAAUCAAGAUAAUGACACAGAUUUUGGUGCAUUUCACAUGCCCUUAAGUUUGUGGUAGAUUUAUUUUCUUAAAUCUCUCUCCUAUAGUGGCUGGUCAUUCUGAGUUGCAGAGACAAGAGUAUCCAUUGUGGAUAUGUGUAAUUGCAGAAGGAGAAAUUUGGUGUUAUGUUUUUCUUUUCUUGACUCUUAACUGUAGACCUCCUCUCAGGUGCACCAGGAGAGAUCCUUUUUCUUCAUGGCAUGAGGCAGUCAUAAAUUAUAUGAAAUGAAGGAAGUUUUUUUCCAUCCUGUACAGACAACCCUUUGUUAUAUGUUUGUUCCUCAUACAAAGCAGCUAGUUAUUAAUCCUAUGCAAUUCAGUAGGGAAUCGUAUGAUCAAGAAAUCAAGAGUUAACCAUAUUUUCUUUGAAGGAUGAUUUUACAAGACAUAGAAUAUCCCAUGGCAAAAGUAACCCUUUGGAAUAAAGAAGAUAGAUGAAAGUGGUAGAGGCAGGGUAACAGCAAGGCUUUGCUUACUCUGAACUGUCUUGGGAAUUUGCAAUUUAUAUCUAGAACAAAAUUGGAAGAGGUUGAAGAUUUCUGUGAUAAUAUGAGCUAGGGCCUAUAUGUUAACAGAUUGCCAUGUUUAAUGGGCUCCUGGAUUGCAAACAGACUCAUUUCCUUUCACAACACUGUCCGUGGAAAUGCACAUGUCAGUGCAGGUCAUUGCUGUCACCCUGCUUCCAUUUAAACAGCCACUCUAAACAAUAAUGACCAUUUAAGAACUAGCAGAUACAUUUUUUUUAUUUAGCUCAAUCCCUCAGUCACUACUAUAGUGUAUCCUAAAUACCCCAAUUCCCUUAUUUUCUACUCUAGCAUUACCUUGAUAAUACAUAUUCUGCCACAAAGGAUUUAUAGUUUGAGUGAUUUAGAAUACUAAAUGCAUUUUAAUUUAGUACAUCAUAAUGAGAAUAAUAGGUCAGUUUUUCUAAGUUGAUAAUUUUCUACAAGCUCUGAUAGGGUGGUACCUGGCUGGGUGAUUUUUGUGCCAUUAACUCUUAGAUGAUUGAGUUGGUUAUAAAAAACUACAAGAUAAAUAAUUGUUGUGUCCCACCAACCUUUCCUUCAGCUUUCUGCAGGCUCCUGCUGCCUGAGUGGGAGAGGAACAUAUAAAGGAUACUUUAUGUGUAAAGGAACACUUUUUUUACCUGCCCACAUCAAGUUGAGGAUGUGUGAUCCUCCUGCCUCCAGCUCUUGGCUCAUCCGCUUGUCUUCACAUCCAGUAGGUUUUCAGCCAGGAUUAGAGGUGACAGUGGAAUGCAGGAUCAUCAGAAUAUCUCACAGGCAGUUCGCAGGAUUGAAUAGGAGAGGCCAUGGUGUUAUUUUUUAACAUUGGGCAUGUUUUUUCUUAAACACAAAAACCUUACCAGUAGCUUCUGGGCAGCUUUUCCAUUUGUUUGUAAUGUUCUCUCCCUUGAUGCUGUCCCCCAAUAAUCAAUAAAGCUUGAUUAAGGAUAGUAGUGAAAAGCAGCAGCCUGCAGCCUCAUUAGAUGUAAAAAUCCAGUACAGAGUGUGGUGACUCAAAUAAUUGUGAUUCAAAGAACAAAUAUGUGGCCACAGAAUAGAAAAAGCUGCUAUUUCUGUGGUUGUUCUUUUUGCUUACUGAUUUUGUCCCACCUUCUAUGAGCUGGCCAUGGAAUUGGAGCAGGACAGGAGGAUAAACCCUGAUGAAUAAGUGCCUUUUUUAAAGAUCAAACAGGUGGGUUGGUUUAGAAUGAUGGAGAAAACAAACAAACAAAAAAACCCCCCCAAACAACAACAACAACAACAACAACCCCCAAAAUAAAAACAAAAAAACCCAAAAAACCCACAACAAAACAAACAAACAAAACCCCUCAAAACAAACAAGAAAAAAAAAAAAAAUUUCUGGUUUUAAGGCUCAAUGAAUACUUUGCCUAACAUUAAAGGAGACAUUUCAUUUUUGUCUUGAGAAGUUUUAAAUAUUGUAUCCAUGAUAAAAAGCAACUGACAUUUUGGAAUGAAACACCAUUCCAAAUUUUAAAAAAUGGAAAUAUUUUUUCUUUCUCUGGAUAUCUUUUCGAGCAACAGUGUGUUGGAACAGGCACACCAAUGCCCAGUGUUCUGUUUGAAUUGGGAUUCUUCCACCCCAAGGAGAUCUAAGUCCUUGUACUCGAAGGUCUGUGGUGGUGAGAAACCUGAGUCUUGAUUUUUUGGGACUGGUGAGACUUCCUGUAUUCAAGUAUGAUGAUAGAAUUAGAAAUGUCUGAGUUAUCAAAUGCAAAUUUCUAAAGCUUGUAGUAGUGGCUCAAAAAUAAUGAAUGAUUGCUUUAAUGCAGUUGGGGAUUCUUUUGCUACGAUUCUUUAUGCUUUCUGGUUUCUGGAUUGUUAAGAGUAUUUGUGGUUAAUUCUCCACUUUUUCUGUACUCCCAUGAAGACACAACACUCACUUUUUCGUUAGAUGCGAGUGUUCCAGAAGAGCUGUGGCUUUAAAAGUAAAGCUAUGUUGGAAAUAAUCUAAAUGGGAAAGUUUGCCCUGGACAGUUUGGUUCUUGUUGGAAACGUGGAGACCUGUUGAUGGAAGAGCUGGUGUGACCUGUGCUGCUGGUGUUUGUCAUAGUGGAGUCCUUUGGAUUGUGGGCACAGUGGAGGCAAAGCUUUGUCUCUGCAGAGUCCUGACUUGCCAGGUAGACUCAAGGAACCAGAGGCUGACAGGUUCCAGGUGUUGGGAUGGUGUCAGAGACUAGGAGGAUCGCUGGCUCUAAACAUUACAGGCCCAUGUGUGGUGAAAGGGUCAAGUUGGGUCUUGCCCUGGUGAGGCAAUGGUCUGCUCUGCACACUCCACUCCUGGAGCUCCUAACCCAGCUCCUGAGUGGCCUCAGGACCAGGUGGGCCACCUAGGAGGGCCCAGGAAAGCCAGAAUGUACUUAAGCCAGAGCAUGAGGUGAGCUCAUGGCCUUGACCGUACCUCUGGAUUUUGUAUGUACACUGCUGGAACCAGGAAUGGUAGCGAUCUCGCCUCGCCUCUCCUCGCCUCGCCUCU